rnacentral:rRNA from 1 species
AUUGAACGCUGGCGGCAGGCCUAACACAUGCAAGUCGAGCGGCAGCGGGAAAGUAGCUUGCUACUUUUGCCGGCGAGCGGCGGACGGGUGAGUAAUGCCUGGGAAAUUGCCCAGUCGAGGGGGAUAACAGUUGGAAACGACUGCUAAUACCGCAUACGCCCUACGGGGGAAAGCAGGGGACCUUCGGGCCUUGCGCGAAUGGAGAGGGCCGGGGGGGAUUAGCUAGUUGGUGGGGUAAUGGCUCCCCAAGGCGACGCUCCCUAGCGGGUCUGAGAGGAUGAUCAGCCACACUGGAACUGAGACACGGUCCAGACUCCUACGGGAGGCAGCAGUGGGGAAUAUUGCACAAUGGGGGAAACCCUGAUGCAGCCAUGCCGCGUGUGUGAAGAAGGCCUUCGGGUUGUAAAGCACUUUCAGCGAGGAGGAAAGGUUGAUGCCUAAUACGUAUCAACUGUGACGUUACUCGCAGAAGAAGCACCGGCUAACUCCGUGCCAGCCGCCGCCGUAAAAC